ACAAACCAACAUCUAUGAGAUCAAAGCUCCUGGUUUGUUAUUUACCACUAUCUUGCCGUAUGUUUUUUUUUCUCAAUUUUCCAUUGUAUUGCAAAACCAUGGUUUAUUCAUAUGAGAUCACUGCUUACGUUUUAUACUCCUUUUCACCUCUAUAAAUUGCUGCUCAAUUUCUUGUUAACACCCAAGUUCAAUUGUUCUUUCAAUUUUACAAUUUACCCAGAAAAUUACAAGUUGUAAACAUUUUCUCUCUCCUCUGUUUUUACCACCGUGGCACCGUCCUCCUAACCACCGUGCCACCACCUUGUGUCGGUGGACUUUUCUGCCGCCAACCAACCAUACUUCUCGGCUUUUCGUUGUUGCGUCGUCCGCCGGAGCUGCUGCCACUACUCUUGUUGUCGUGCUCCAACCGCAGUAGCAACAGAUGUUAUUGUUGUUGUUUUCUGUUCAUUGCUCUUGCUUCCUUGUUUCAUUAAAAAGCCCAAUCACAGUGGUCAAGGUAUAAUAUUAUAUCCUUUUAAGCCCAUUUCCUUUACUUUUGCCAAUUUAGUUAGUUAAGACCAUUUUACUAUCUAACAAAAUGAAUGAAAGUCAAAAUAGUUUUAUGAAAGAAAAUGAAUUUUCGGUUCAAAAGAAUUUUUAAAGUCAAAGUGGUCUUAAUGGAUAUAGUAGAUUAAACUCUAAUGAUGUCUUUUUAAUUUUUCUUGGAACAAUGAGCUUGAGAAAUAAAGUGCAUGGAGUUCUUGGAGGAUAUAUUUAUAUGAUGUACGAUCAAUAUCGAAGUUUAUAUGAAAUGAUUUUCGAACAAGGUUCGUUUAAGGAGCUAGAGUUGCUCAAGAGGAGAGUUAUCACGGGAGUUGGUAAUUUGUUAUAGAGAUAUCAAGAUGAGAAAUAUUUAUUAUAGAAAUCCUACUAUUGAGUUUUAGAUUAUGAGAAUAUAAAAUUAUAUUUAUUUUUGGGAAUAUUGUAUUAUUUAUGGAAUGUUAUUAAGGAUUAUUUUAUUUGUGGGCCCAUACCCAUAGGUCCCAGGAUUAUCUUAUGUCUAAUUCCGCUGCUAAUGAUCAAUUAAGUGUGAUUUAUUACCGAUAAUUAAGGAGCCGAAAAGUCGGGGCGUUACAUAUUGCUAUACAGUUAUGCCGCUCGGACUGAAGAACGCGGGGGCUACAUACCAAAGAACAGCCACAGCCAUCAUGAGCGACAUGAUUCAUAGAGAAAUCGAGGUAUAUGUCGACGACAUGAUCGUCAAAUCUAAAGAGCGACAUGAACAUACCUCGGUACUCCGAAAAUUCUUCAAUAGGCUCAGGCAAUACAAUAUGAGGCUCAAUCCUAAAAACUGUGCAUUCGGGAUAACGACAGGCAAGUUGCUCGGAUAUGUCAUCAGUUCUCGGGGCAUCAAGGCUGAUCCUUCGAAAAUCAAGGCCAUUCUAGAGAUGAAACCGCCAGCGAAUGAGACAAAAAUUCGAGGGUUCCUCGGCAAACUACAAUACAUCAGCAGGUUCAUUUCAAAGCUCACUAUAAUCUGUGAACCGGUAUUUCGAAAGCUCCGCAAAAGUGAGCCCAAAGUCUGGGACGAGGACUGUCAACAUACGUUUGACGCUAUCAAAGGCUACCUCUCCAACCCGCCAGUGCUAAAGCCAGCCAUGCCAGGGAUUCCCCUUAGGCUUUACCUUACAACGACAGAUUCAGCAGUAGGGGCCAUGCUCGCCCAAGAGAUUGAAGGCAAAGAGAACGUCGUAUACUACAUAAGCAAAAAGUUGAUCGAGUACGAAACCAGAUACCACUAGUAGAAAAAUCGUCAUGUGCUUCUCUUCAAGUGCGGCUCAUUUAGUAAAUUGGCAGCACUUGAGGGCACACAAAAAAAGAAAAAAAAUACAUUUUCACAAGUGCGGGCUCAUUUUAGAAAAUUGGCAACACUUAAUUUCAAGUGCGGGCUCAUUUUACAAACGACCCGCACAAAAUAUUUCAUUUCCCGCUUCUCCUCUCCUUCCUUUUCUCUGGUUUCCUAAAACGUAUCUUCAUUUCCCGGUUCUCUGCUCUUCCCCUCUCUGGUUUCUUCGAUCUUCCCUUCUCCGGUUCUCUGGGCGCGAAAUCAACAAUCUCAACACUCACAGCACACACCGCACUCCCACAUCGUCGCGUUGUCGCUUCUGCUCCCCCACCAUCGCGUCGCCGCCACUGCUCCCAAUCGUCGUAUGGCCGCUGCUGCUCCAUAUCGCCGCGUCUCCGCUGCUGCUCCCCACCGCCGCGAAUUUUAAAAGUCGAAUUUCAAUUUGUGUUUCUCCAAACCCUAGAAAAUACCGCGUGGCUUUUUCAAGCAAGUUGUAGGGUCUAAAUCUUACUGGAUCUUUGCCUGAAGAAUUCGUCUGAUUUGCUUGUCGACAAAGCAGACAAGGGUUCUUUUAACAAGUACUUCUUGUUUCUAUCUGAGGAAAGGUGACUUUCCAAAGUAUACUCAAAAUCUGUCUCCAGCAAGCCAGGAUAUUUACUCUCAGGCCUUGCUGAUUCAGAGCGAAUAUGGUGUCAAAUAUGGACCAUAGUAUUGGCACCAGCAUUCCCUGAUGGGUAUUGCUGUUGCAGUUGAGCUGUAUAAGCGAAAUUUAUGCUGGGGUCCUGCCUGGUUGCGGAGUUGAAAGUGUAUAGUCUAUUGGUGAAGGAAGUGCAGUGAGCGCCUGGCUUUGUAGAGAACAAGAAAGCAAAUUGGCAGGAUCUUGUAACUCUUAAUGGUGGAGUGGUUAUAACUGAAGACCUUGGCAUGAAUACGGAAAAUGAUGUUGUCAUAUCUCCCUAGAUGGGAACGCAGGAAUGGAAAUUAUUUCUCAGCAAUUCCCUGGAGCUUUUUCUGCAUAUAUAUCUUCAGUGACGAGCUUAUACUGAAGUUUUCAAGGAAAGUUUGAUGCCAAUGUCCACAUUAAUGUUUGUUCACCUGUCACGGAUGCAUCUGGGACCACUAAGGCUGUUAUUUCAUGCUUUCGGAGACUUGGAGCUAGUAGACUUCGUUAUGGAUCAAAAAGAAACAGGAUACACACUCAUCAGAUCUUAUUGUUGGUACAAAUCAUAAUCAUGGUGACGGAUUUAAUUCUGCUUCCGUGGAUCCGCCUGCAAUGCUUAUGCCUAGCUUAGGACCUUCUAGGUCGGUUAGGGAAAUAAUUCAUGAAGUGAAGAUGGUUCAGGUAUACUUUUUUUUCUGUCUUAAACUUUUCUUAAAACACUAUUUUGUUUCUAGCUGUUGAAAAAAUUGCCUCUUCUUCUUUCAGUUUCUGAUAUGAAACAUGUUUUUAUCAUUGGAAUUUAGAAAGUUUUGCUAAAUGUUUCUGCACCAUUCUGUAACUUUAUAGAUUGAAAUUGUGUCUCUGCUUUUUUAAAGUUUUUUCACAAUUCAAGUUGUAAACAAUCUAAAAAACCCAUCCAAAUUUAUACCCAGCGAAAUUGAUGUGGACUCUCUUAACCGCAACUGGCUAAAACUUUCUUACUCUGCAAACUAACAUCAUGAGUUGGACAAGAACCCCAGUUGCAUAGAAUGAAAAGCUCACUUCUUUGAGUUAUUUCUGCAUAAUUUUGUUAAGAAUUUCUAGUUUCUUUAGCAUGUGAGUUCUUAUAUCAUUAGAAGGAGAAUAGAUUGACUGAAAUUUAUAGUCUGAACAAUUAAGUCACAAGUUUAAAAAGUUGUUUUUGUUUCGUUUGUUUCUGCUGUUUAAAGCCUAUGAUGUUUUGCGAUUUGUUUCUGCUAAGUUAACCAACUUUAAGUACUUAACCUUCUAAAUUCCAUUUUCUUAUAAUCCAUAAAAAAUGUGAUGCCGGUGUGGGGAAAAUGAGUACAAUAGAAAUUAAAGGCAAAGAACAGCAAAAAUGUGAUGCAAAUGUUUUAUCCCGUGCUGACCUCUAUGAAUAGUUGAAAGCAAAGAACAGCGAUGAAGCACCCAUUAUCGGUGUUGGUCUUCAUAGUUAUUCACUUUUGUAUACUUUCACAUGCUCCAUCCAAGCUGAAUUGUGUCCUUGGCCGAUUUUUGUCUUUGAUAUUUUUCUUGUAGUGAAACUUAGAUUAUGGAUGCUAGUUUUUCAUAGUAUUGUAAAUUUUUAAUGUGAUCAAUUUUUAUAUUUAUAAUUA